GGCGGCGCGCUUAACACAUGCAAGUCGCACGAGAAAGUGGAGCAAUCCAUGAGUAAAGUGGCGUACGGGUGAGUAACACGUGGAUCAUCUACCUCUUAGUGGGGAAUAACCCUGGGAAACCGGGGCUAAUACCGCAUAAGCCUGAGAAGGGAAAGCAGCAAUGCGCUGAGAGAGGAGUCCGCGGCCGAUUAGCUAGUUGGUAGGGUAAAGGCCUACCAAGGCAAUGAUCGGUAGCCGGCCUGAGAGGGCACACGGCCACACUGGCACUGAAACACGGGCCAGACUCCUACGGGAGGCAGCAGUGGGGAAUCUUGCACAAUGGAGGAAACUCUGAUGCAGCGACGCCGCGUGAGCGAUGAAGCCCUUCGGGGUGUAAAGCUCUUUCGACGGGAACGAUAAUGACGGUACCCGGAGAAGAAGCUGCGGCUAACUACGUGCCAGCAGCCGCGGUAAUACGUAGGCAGCAAGCGUUGUUCGGAAUUACUGGGCGUAAAGAGUGUGUAGGCGGUUUUCUAUGUUCGGUGUGAAAUCUCCCGGCU
rnacentral:rRNA from 1 species